CAAGCAGUGGAGUAUGUGGUUUAAUUCGACGCAACGCGAAGAACCUUACCAGGGCUUGACAUCCUCUGACGGUACCAGAGAUGGUGCUUUCCCUUCGGGGACAGAGAGACAGGUGGUGCAUGGUUGUCGUCAGCUCGUGUCGUGAGAUGUUGGGUUAAGUCCCGCAACGAGCGCAACCCCUAUGGUCAGUUGCCAGCAGGUAAGGCUGGGCACUCUGGCGAGACUGCCGUUGACAAAACGGAGGAAGGUGGGGACGACGUCAAAUCAUCAUGCCCCUUAUGUCCUGGGCUACACACGUGCUACAAUGGCCGGUACAGACGGACGCAAAGCCGCGAGGUGGAGCAAAUCCUAAAAAGCCGGUCUCAGUUCGGAUUGCAGGCUGCAAUUCGCCUGCAUGAAGUCGGAAUCGCUAGUAAUCGCAGGUCAGCAUACUGCGGUGAAUACGUUCCCGGGCCUU
rnacentral:rRNA from 1 species